UACGGGGGGGCAAGCGUUGUUCGGAAUUACUGGGCGUAAAGGGCUCGUAGGCGGCCAACUAAGUCGGAUGUGAAAUCCCCAGGCUCAACUUGGGAACUGCAUCCGAUACUGGAUGGCUUGAAUUCGGGAGAGGGAUGCAGAAUUCCAGGUGUAGCGGUGAAAUGCGUAGAGAUGCGGAGGAACACCGAUGGCGAAGGCAGCCCCCUGGGCUAGCACUGACGCUCAGGCACGAAAGCGUGGGGAGCAAACAGGG
rnacentral:rRNA from 1 species